AUCAUCAGGCAACCACCGGACCGCUGGAUGACCAACGCCGAAUGACACACUACCAGAGCCUAUUGCUGACAGAGCGAGUAAGUUUUGCACCCCCAGCCAUUCUCAACCCCGCCUCCUUACUACCUGAGGCUGACGAGGCCCCUACACAUAAGUGUGAAGAAAUACUGGCAAAAGAGACUGGAAUCCGGCCAGACCUCACAGACCAACCUUGGCCAGGGGCGAUGACUUGGUUCACGGACUGAAGCAGCUUUGUAGUAGAAGCCAUCCUGCCCUGUUUCUCAUUCUUACUAUUCCAAAAGAUGAGCAUGUACCACACCACUGAGUUUGCUUUCCUGUUUAUCUCUACAGCAAGAUGGAAAAAUAAACCUUAAACAAGAAAAAUAAAGGUUCCUAUAAGGUUUUAUCAAGAUGAUCAAAGAAAUCACUUCAUGAUUUUAAGAAGGAGAGAAGCUAUGCUGAAGUAUUACCAUAAGAAGAAUAUUCUAAGCCAGGCCCAAUGGCUUACAGUGGUAAUGGAAGCACCUGAAAAGCUACAGCAAGUGGAUUCUACACCAUGGAGAGAGGCCAGCCAGGCUUACAAACUGAAUAAAAGAACAACGUGGCUUUCACAAUGAAUGCCUGACUCAAAAACAGACAGAGGCAGAUGAUAGCUAAAUGAUUGAUAGAUGAUAGAUAGAUAGAAAGAUAGAUGAUAGAUAGAUGGAUGAAUAGAUGAAUAGAUAGAUGACAGAUGAUAGAUAACGGAGGUAGACAUAUACAUUCAUACAUACAUACAUACAUACAUACAUACAUACAUAUACACACACUCACAAACACACACACACACACACACACACACACACACAGAGAUAUUAAGAGAGUGUCCUACUAAAAUAGAACCAGAAAUUUCAGUGCAUGUGCUUGUCUUCAAGCAGGUUACUUUGUUACAGGCUAGAGUGACAAAAAUAAUAUUGGGAAAACAAGAGUUAAUAUUGUCCUUCAGUCUCAUUCAAGGGAUAAGAUGGAGGGCUAACUUGCUCUGGCUUACUAAAAGCAUGAAGAAUCAGUCAUACAAUUAUGGAGUAUUUUUUCUUUCUCAUUUCAUGCUAUGGUUUUCAUAGUGUUACACAACGUAUCAGUAAAGCUCAACUAAGACAAUUACAAAAUACAGGUUAUAUGUUACCAGUUUCAAA
rnacentral:lncRNA from 1 species